GGUGUCCCCAGCUUUAGCUCAGCCCUCCUGAGGGAGUGGGUAUUCUUUUGAAUGGUCAAAGGAAAAAGAAGAUAUCAAUAAAACUGUGACAAAAAGAUAAGCAAUUUGGGCCUGUAGGAAGUUUGUGAACAUGGAAGACAGAUAACCAACUAGAACACUCCCGACAUCUUUAUAACUGCAGUCUGCAGAAGGAAAAAGGCGUGAGGUAAGAGUUGGAAGAAAGUUCUGAUCCAUCCAGAAAUUAGAAUUUGUACUUUACCUUGAAAGCUAAUUGAUAUACUACGUGAAUACACUCUCUGAUGAUCUAGUGACAAUAAUUAAACCCCCAAACAACUCCUGUAUUGAAUUCACAUGGAGGCCCAAGGAGAGGGGAAUCUAAAUCAAAGAGAAGUCAAUUUCAUGCCAUGUACCCAUUUAUAUCAAAUCAGAAAACUCCCUUGAAAUAAACCAGCAUAAUAUGUUUAUGACAAAGGUGGCACUUCAGAGCAAUGAGGAAGGAAGAGAUGACCUUUUCUUUUUCUUUUUUUGAGAUGGGGUCUCACUACAUUGCCCAGGCUGGUCUUGAACUCCUGGACUCAAGUGAUCCAACUGCCUGGGAUUACAGACAUGACUCACCAUGCCUAGCUGAGAUGACCUUUUCAAUAAACAGAUAGCCUAAUGGAUAUCCACAUCUUGACCCCUACCUCACAUCAUACACAAAACUCAAUUCUAAAUAAAUUGUAAGUCCCCAUCUAAAAAGACAAUACAUCUUCUAGAAGAAAUCAUAGAAUAUUUUUGUUUAUUCAGGGAAGGAAAAGAUGGUUUAAAUGGGACAGAAAAGCUACCAAUGAUAAAGGAUAUGAUUGAUUAAAAUGGACUACAUUAACAGUUUAAAAUUCUGAAUUUCUCAUCACAGAUACUAAGACUAAAAAUGCAAGGCACUGAGUAGAUAUAAAAAGUCAGUCAAUGGAUUUGUACCUAGAAUAUAUAAAGAACUAAUUAAUAAAAAAUAGGCAUCUAGGCUGGGCAUGGUGGCUUACACCUGUAAUCUCAGCACUUUGGGAGGCUGAGCAGGAGGACUGCUUGAGCCCAGGAGUGUGGGACCAGCCUGGGCCACACAGUGAGACCCCAUCUCUAAAAAAAAAAAAAAAAACAAAAAAGAAAGAAAUAGACAUCGAAUACAGAAAUUGUCAGAAAACAAGCAAGUACUUCAAAAAAGAGGCCAAUAAGCAUAUGGAAAGGUGCUCAACUCCCCAUAUCACUAAAGACAAUAGCUAUGCUUUUUACAAAAGGUAUAAAAUGAAUAAAAUAUUCACAUCAAAUUUCUUGUUUUCUUUUUCUGGUAGUUCAACAAUACAUAUAAUAACUGUUAGUUGAAAUAACAUUUGUCUCUGAUGAUCAAAUUGAACCAAAUAUAAAUUUCUUUUUUGAAAAUAUUACAAUCAUUUUUCUACCUAUAAAUUUUACUUUGAAUUUUUUACCUAUAAAUUCUAUUUUGAAUUUAUAGGUAAAGAAUGAUAGUAAUAUUUUCAUAUUACAAUCAUUAUUAUCAAUAUUAUCCAUCUGAGAUAAUAAUCAUUUGCCUCCCUGUUUUUAUCUAUUUGGCCAUUCUAGCACCAAAUUUCAAAAGCAUUUAUAGUACUUUCCAUUGUUUUCUUUAGACAUUGUGCAGUCAGUUAAGCAAAGAUUGCUUAAAGAGGACACAAAAAUUCUUGGCUUAAUACUGUUGUUUUUCAAGCAAUUUAAGCCAAUAUUCCUAGCCAGUAUUGACUUACUAUUUUUCAAUAUCAUCAAUUGUUAACUGUUGACUAACCUACUCACCUUUUCCCGCCAGUUUUAGUAAUUGCAUAUGUGCUUCCUUUUUAUGCACAUGUGAUGUUUCAUAUUCCUUUAAUGAAGAAUCUAGAUUACUAAAUUCUAGUGCAGAAUCUAGUUUAGUUAGUCAUCAAUACACACCUUGGCCAAAGAUAAUCCUGAAAACUAGGUUUGUCAGACACAUAAUGGGAAUACAAAAAUGCUUUUCCUUGGACUUAGAAUAUAAAAGCCAGUUUCUACAGGGUCUUUCUCUGCGCUUUAAAAUGUAGGUUUUAUUCUUCAGGUAUGCUAAGGCCAACAGAUCAGGAGAUGACUGCCAUUGAAAAGACAGUUUGUUAUUCACAGUUCCAAGAAGAGAGGUGAUAUGGUUUGGCUGUGUCCCUACCCAAAUCUCAUCUUGAAUUGUAGCUCCCAUAAUUCCCAUGUGUCGUGGGAUGGACCCAGUAGGAGGUAAUUGAAUCAUGGGGGUGAGUCUUUCCCAUGCUGUUCUCAUAGUGGUGAAUAAGUCUCACGAGAUCUGAUGGUUUUAUAAAUGGGAGUUCUCCUGCACAAGCCCUCUUUGCCUGCCACCAUGUAAGCCUUCCCUUUGCUCUUCCUUCAUCUUCCGCCAUGAUUGUGAGGUUUCCCCAGACAUGUGGAACUGUGAGUCCAUUAAACUUCUUUCCUUAUAAAUGACCCAGUCUCAGGUAUGUCUUUAUUAGCAGCUUGAGAACAGACUAAUACAAGAGGACAUGCCACACAGGUAAGCACCAGGGUUGGUCAAGAAGCAAAAGGAGUGAGGAGAAAACAUAUGCAAGAGCCUGUACUGUGGUUUCUACAGGAAGGAACAGAUGAGGCAGGGUAAGCAGGUUUAGAAUUGGCUAGUUUGAAUAAUUUCAGUGGUCUCUAGGGGUAUAGGGGCUGUCCCUAGUUGCCUGGUACCUGGCUCUGGGGUGACCAGGGUAGGUGGAUAGUGGCCUUGAGUGUAAGAGCAGGAUGUGGGAUACGGGCUCUGGAUCAGUAGGUUAGCAUAUGAAAGACAGCUCACAGACGAGUCCUUUACUCUCCCUAGGAAUUGGCUGGCUAGCCUGUGGAGGGCCAGUCUCCCAACAGUCAGUAAGACCCUAGAUGUCAAAAUAACAGAAUAAAAAGUAAUGCUUAAUACCCUCUUUUUAGAAGAACUAGUGUUAGAUAAUGAUGUGGUUUGGCUCUGUGCCCCCACCCAAAUCGCAUCUCAAAUUGUCAUCCCCCCGUGUCAGGGGAGGGACUUGUAAUCCCCACGUGUACAGGGAGGGACGUGAUUGGAUCAUGGAGGUGGAUCCCCCCCACCAUGCUGUUCUCGUGAUAGUGAGUGAGUUCUCAUCAGAUCUGAUGGUUUUAUAAGCAUCAGCCAUUUCCCCUGCUUGCUCUCACUCCCUCCUGCUGCCUUGUGAGGAAGGUGCCUGCUUCUUGCCUUCCACCAUGAUUGUAAGUUUCCUGAGGCCUUCCCAGCCAUGCAAAACUGUGAGUCAAUUCAACCUCUUUCCUUUAAAAAUUACCCAGUCUCAGGUAUUUCUUUAUAGCAGUGUGAAAAGGGACUAAUACAGAUGAAAUAGCAAAUUUUCUGUUAUGAUUAUCUGAGGAAAAAUCAUAAUGAUUAAUUUGAAGCACAUUUUGUUUUGCCGCAAAGAAUCUCAUGCUGUCAAAAGGAGUAGGAUCAGUUUCCAGAAUCAUUAUCCAACAAACCUAGUGACACUCCAGAAGUUCUAACUUUUUGACCAGUUUGCUGAUUUCAUGGAUAUAAUUUUCUCUAUCUUGCAAGGUGCAGCCCAGAGUUACAUUUGUUCCUUCUGAAUUAUGUAUUUGAUAUGAAUAAUUCUCUUUUCUAUCUCACUUUUACUUUGGCUCUGUGUCCCCACCCAAAUCUCCUGUUGAAUUAUAAUUCCCAGUGUUGAGGGAGGGACCUGGUAAGAGGUGAUUGGAUCUUGGGGGUGGAUUUCCCCCAUGCUGUUCUCAUGAUAGUGAGUGAGUUUUCACAAUAUCUGAUGGCUUAAAAGUGUGUGGCACUUCCCCUCCUCACUCUCCUUCUCUCUCUUUCCUGCCACCAUGUAAAGAAGGUGCUUGCUUCCCCUUCACCUUCCACCAGGAUUGUAAGUUUCCUGGGGCCUCCAAGCCUUGCUUCCUGUUAAACCUGCAGAACUGUGAGUCAAUUAAACUUCUUUUCUUCAUAAAUUACCCAGUCUCAGGUAGUUCUUUAUAGCAGUAUGAGAAUGGACUAAUACAGUAGCUAAAGAAUCAUUUACCAGAUAAUUUGAAGUUGCUAAGAUUGAAUCUGACUUGAAGUUCAAGUUGUGAAUUUGAUAAGAAUAAAUACCUGUUUUAUUUUCAUGAGUAGUGUUCAUUCAUAAUUUACAAUACCUUAUUUCUGAACUUUACAUGCUCAAUAAAGUCUGAACUUUACAUGCUCAAUAAAGUCUGCUAGUUUUUAUUGUUGCCAGUUUUAAAAUUUUAAAUAGUCUCUUAUUUGAAAAUUUUCUAUUUUUCCCUUGCAGUUUGUUUCUCUUCUGAUUCUAUUUACUUAUCUAUUUAUUUUCAAGAUAGGGUCUCACUCUGUCACUCAGGCUGUAGUGCAGUGGCACAAUUACAGCUCACCACAGACUCAAUCUCCCAGGCUCAAGCAAUUCUCCCGCCUCAGCCUCCUGAGUAGCUGGGACUAUGUGCCACCACACCUGGCUAGUUUUUAACAUUUUUUUUUAAGAAAUAAGGUCUCCUUAUGUUGCCCAGGCUGGUCUUGAACUCCUGGGCUCAAGGGAUCCUCCCUUGUCAGCCUCCCAAAAUGCUGGAAUUACAAGCAUGAACCACUAUGCCUGGCCAUGAACUUUACUUUUAUAUUACCUAUUUCUGUUAUGGUCUUGAUCUGUACUCAUUUCAAUGAUCUAAAGGCUUAAAUAAUGAUGU
rnacentral:lncRNA from 1 species